GGUGCGGGCGGGCGGCCGAGCCCCGGGCUAGCCGUGUCCCUCCGACAUGUCGCGCCUUCCGGCCCGGAGGCUUGUCGCGGCGGUGAGGGGCUGGCGCGGCUUCUCAGUUUGCAAGGCAUGUGCUCGCCGAAGAUUUUCCAUCCAGCCUGCCCAGCAGAAGAAGAUUCCAAACCGGUAUUUGGGCCAGCCCAGCCCCUUCACACACCCACACCUUCUCAAACCAGGAGAGGUAACCCCAGGAUUGUCACAGGUGGAAUAUGCUCUUCGCCGACACAAACUGAUGGCGUUGAUCCAGAAAGAAGCCCAUGGCUGGAAUGGAUUGGACCACACAGUGAUUCUGCUAUCCAACCCCACGUACUACAUGAGCAAUGACAUCCCCUAUGUUUUCCACCAGGACACUAACUUCCUGUACCUGUGUGGGUUCCAGGAGCCUGACAGCAUCCUGGUGCUGCAGAGCAUUCCUGGCAAAGCGCUGCCCUCCCACAAAUCCAUACUUUUUGUGCCCCGGAGAGAUCCAAGCCGAGAGCUGUGGGACGGGCCCAGAUCAGGCACGGAUGGGGCAAUUGCUCUCACAGGAGUAGAUGAAGCAUACACCAUUGAGGAGUUCAGGCAGUUGGUGGCCAAGCUGAAAGGUGAGUCAAACAUUGUUUGGUACGACUUGACGAAACCAGUGCAUACAGAGCUGCACUCUGACUACAUGCAGCCCCUGGCUGAGAUAAAAGCUCGGAACAAAAACCACAUCCGGGGCAUCCGACAUCUGGUGCAAAACCUUCGGCUGAUCAAAUCUCCUGCAGAGAUUGAAAGGAUGAAGAUAGCUGGACGGGUGACAGCAGAGGCUUUCACAGAGACAAUGUUUGCCAGCAAAUCCCCAGUGGACGAAGCCUUUCUGUAUGCAAAGUUUGAAUUCGAGUGCCGGGCUCGUGGUGCUGACAUCUUGGCGUACCCGCCUGUUGUUGCUGGUGGCAACAGAUCAAACACUUUGCACUAUGUGAAGAACAAUCAGCUCAUCAAGGAUGGUGAACUGGUCUUGCUAGAUGGUGGAUGUGAGUCUUCCUGCUACGUAAGUGACAUCACGCGUACCUGGCCUGUCAAUGGAAGGUUCACUAAACCCCAAGCAGAACUAUACCAGGCUGUCCUGGAUAUCCAGAAGUCCUGCCUGAGCCUCUGCUCCCCAGGCGUGAGUCUAGAAAAUAUCUACAGCCUCAUGCUGAGCCUUAUUGGACAGAAACUGAAAGAGUUGGGGAUCCUAAAGAGCAGCAUCACUGAGAGCCUCUUCUUCAAGGCUGUUCGAAAGUACUGCCCACAUCAUGUAGGCCAUUACUUGGGCAUGGAUGUUCAUGAUACCCCAGAUGUAUCCCGAUCGCUCCCGCUCCAGCCAGGCAUGGUGAUAACCAUUGAACCAGGCAUUUAUAUCCCUGAGGAUGAUGUGAGUGCCCCAGAGUGGUUUCGUGGCAUUGGUGUGCGCAUUGAGGAUGAUGUUGUGAUAACAGAAGAUGCGCCUCUCAUCUUGUCUGCUGACUGUCCCAAAGAGAUCUACCACAUCGAGCAGAUCUGUAGCCACAGCUCAUGAUGACCCUUCUCUGCAUCUUUGAUCCUCCUCAGGAGACUCAGCCCUCCAGGGAUGCAGAUCCCUGUAGCUGGCUGUAGUUGUCAAGUGAUGGAGGAGGUGGAUAAUCAGAGUGUCAUCUGGGACCUACACACACGCUGCAGUGUCCCUUGAAUACAACCAACUCCAUGAACAUUUUACGUGACCUUUGUCAAGAAACUCCAAAGAAUCCCUCCUCCGGCUGCACAUACCCGUGGCGUACCUCCCCAGUCGCCAAUCCCAUACUGCCAGAUUUACGGUCUGUCUCUGCCACAGAAGAGGUU